GCCCUAGGGGGCCAGCAGGCACUGCCCGCGCCCGCUUGCUCCCAGGAACAGCAUGGCGCCUUCCCCUCAGGAAGUAGAGCAGCCGGGCUCCUGAAGGCUGACACCCAGGGCUGACCCGGACCUGCCGGGGCUGCUGGGACUUUCUGGUUUGGUGGAGGAGCGUCAGCACAGGUGUUCCAGAAAUAGGCUUUUGGCCAGACCACUAAAGAUGAAUCUCUGUAACGGUGAAUCGUCUCACACAGUCAAAUGAGAAG
rnacentral:lncRNA from 1 species